CGCGUAGGUGGUUUUGUAAGUUGGGUGUGAAAUCCCCGGGCUCAACCUGGGAACUGCAUCCAAAACUGCAAGACUAGAGUACGAUAGAGGGGGGUAGAAUUUCAGGUGUAGCGGUGAAAUGCGUAGAGAUCUGAAGGAAUACCGGUGGCGAAGGCGGCCCCCUGGAUUGAUACUGACACUGAGGUGCGAAAGCGUGGGUAGCAAACA
rnacentral:rRNA from 1 species